rnacentral:rRNA from 1 species
GAGCGGCCGUAGCAAUACGGCAGCGGCAGACGGGAGAGUAACACGUGGGAACGCGCCCUUCGGUUCGGAAUAACUCAGGGAAACUUGGGCUAAUACCGGAUACGCCCUUACGGGGAAAGAUUUAUUGCCGAAGGAACGGCCCGCGUCCGAUUAGCUUGUUGGUGAGGUAACGGCUCACCAAGGCGACGAUCGGUAGCUGGUCUGAGAGGAUGACCAGCCUCACUGGGACUGAGACACGGCCCAGACUCCUACGGGAGGCAGCAGUGGGGAAUAUUGGACAAUGGGCGCAAGCCUGAUCCAGCCAUGCCGCGUGGAUGAUGAAGGCCCUAGGGUUGUAAAGUCCUUUCGGCGGGGAAGAUAAUGACGGUACCCGCAGAAGAAGCCCCGGCUAACUUCGUG